rnacentral:lncRNA from 1 species
GAUCUACCCUUCCUCGGCCUCAAACCGCCAUGGACAGCAGCUGAAAAAAAAAUGGGUAUGCAGCGGACGUUUGGCCCGUUUUGGCCGCCUUCCCGAGCCCGGAUGCUCGGCCCACUUUGAGGAAAGUUGUUCUCCUCGCCGUCCCCGUCAUUUUGGUCCGCUCGGCUCGCUAAUCCGAUGAGUUUAGCUCACUAAACCUCGCUUAGAGGGUUAAUUAUGGUUAGGGAGGUUUAGUUUAUGUUAAGUAUUAUUAGGUUGUUAUUUUGUGUUAAUUAAGAGUAGAUUUGAUUAAGGUGGUGGUUUAAUUUAAAGUGUGCUUAAUUAAGGGUAAGUAGGUUUAUUUAAAAUAAGCCUUGAUUUGACAUAAAUGAAUUUACUUUUGAUUUAUUUAAAUGUCUCGAAAUUAUUAUAUAAUUUAAUAAUAAUUUUAUUCGAAAUUAAUAAAAUAUUAUUAUUUAAUUAUUUUCGGAAUAAAUUAAAUUAUUUAUUAAAUUCCGAAAAUUUUGUCGAGACCCUAAAUUCUCAGAAUUUCGUACCGGUCGCUGCUAUGUAGUCAGAUUUUGAAAUUGACGAUUGGAUUUUAUAAAUUGAGUGUGGAUCGUGAAAGACAUGGAUAUUAUUAUUUAAUUAUUUUCGGAAUAAAUUUAAUUAUUUAAUAAAUUCCGAAAAUUAUUCUGGAACCUUAUUCUCCCAUAAUUUCGUGCUGAUCGUUGCUGUGUAUUUAGAAUUUGAUAUUGAUGAUUGGUUGUGGCAAAUUGAGUGUGAUUGCGAUAUAUAGGGAUUCUUUAUGAAAUCCUAAGUGUAGAAAUUGAUGGGAGAUUGGCUGUGAUUGACCACCUAUUAGAGGUCGUGCCUAAUAUGGCCGUGAUAAACCACCUAUGAGAGGUCGUGCCCAGUGAGGUCGUGAUAAACCACCUAUUAGAGGUCGUGCCCGAUGAGGCCGUGAUAUGCCACCUAUUAGAGGUCGCGCCCAAUGGGGCCGUGAAUUGCCACCUGUUAAAGGUCGCGCCGAGUGGAGCCGUGAUGCCACUGAUUCAAAUUUGCCGAGUAGGGCCGUAGUUGAGAGCAAUGAUUGAUUUGCCAGAAUGACAUGUAAUCGGCCGAGUCGAUUGAUUGCUGUGACGAUCCAAGUGGUUGAAUUGUUUGGAUAAUGUGAUUGUGACAUGGUUGUUUGGUUAUCAUAAUUGUAUGUGGUUGGAUUAUAUAAAUUGUGCUAACCUGCAGAUGAAGGCUGAGGCGAGGUAAGUCUUCUGUGUGAUGUGGCUAGGCCACCCUUGGGCGUAUUUUCUUUCUAAUAGGGGUUUAGGGGGUUGAACUUGCUGAGACGUUUUCUCAGUGGUUAUUGAAUAACCAUUUCAGGUCCCUGGUGGACGGAGCGGCCAGAUAGUUUUGGUUGGCCUUGAGGAGUUGCAGAGGUGAAGUCAUAAGGGUUGGAGAGCGUGUCCUGCUAGAUGGUUGUAGGAUAGUUCCCCUUUUGUUGAGCUGGUCUAUUUUGUAGAAAGUCCAGUGUUGUAUUUAAACCCUUUGUGUUUGUAAAUGAGUGUUUGGUAUUGUGAUUGAUUGCCUGCCUUUCUAUCUCAAGUUAAAUGUUGUCAGGGGAUUUGUUUCGCUUCCGCAUGCGUAAAGAAAUGAAUGGGUCGGCAACAUAUCCUGGGAUGUCGCAUUUUUGAUCGACCGCAGUGGGAUGUGUGCGCGCUCGGGGUUCGGGGCGUGACAUCCCCGUUUAAGUGGUAUUAGAGCAUGGUCUGUGUAUGGAGUGAUAAGGUGCAAUGAGUCUUGGGAUAGUUAGUAGGAAAGGCUUUUAAUAUGCUGAUGCAUGUGAGUGAUAGCUAAUUGGUAGCUUGUUUGUGGGGUCACUCAAAUUUCAACUUGAUGUUGGAAUCGAAAAACAGGUGUCUAUAAAGAGCCUGUAGGAUGAGUGACCAGGAGUGGAGAACUCCUUGGAGAAUGUCGAUAGGACCUAUACCUCGGGGUAGGAUGUUGACAAGAGUUGGUACCCGAGGUAAAGCGCAGGCUUAAACCAGCGCGAGUGUGAGAGUACCGCUGCAAGUCGGUACUUAGAGUGUAGCAGCACUUAACGAUCUUAGGUCCGUUGAGAUCAUUCAGGCGCUAGUGUCCCUUGGAAGCUUGUUGGGUCAGUAAGCUCAGGAUCGAGCCGUUGUUGUUGCUGUUAUUUCUACCGCUGCCAGUGUUGUGACCGUUGUUAUUGCCGUGCCUGUUGAGGCCUAAUCUGGAGUUGUGAUCGAGGAUCAAGUCUUCAUAUCUGAGUCAAGGUUCAGUUUAGACAGAGAUGAAAAAUCGGUUGGGGAGAAAGGCCGAUGUCAGAAGAAAGGUGCCCUAUUUCACCCAACCCGAAGAGUAGAAUUGGAAAGUCAGUGCUCAACUCGAUCGAUGUGUGUCGUGUCUGUAAGAAAAGACAUGGAUCUAUUUUGUGCUGUAAGAGAGAGAUGACUUGUUACAAGGGUCGCCAGUACAGUCACUUGAUCAAAGAUGGUUCGUAUAGACAGAUGGAAUCACAGCUGUUUCUGUCACCGUCGUUGAUAAGACAGAACAGAGGAAGCAUGCUUCAGGAUGUUCAGUGGGGUACUUGGAAUGGACCCCAGUGCAAGAAAGGGUGCAUGAUGUUCCUUGAUGGGAGGUAGAGGACUCACCGAUUGUGUAACGAGUUUGUGGAAAGAGGCUUGAGUCAGCCCAGUGUCAGAGUAAAAAGGGAGCAUGCUUCAAGUGUGGCCAGCAUAGUCGUCAGGUUAAGAACUGUCCGUGUAAGUUUAGGAGAGUGUAAGCACUGCUACUGCAGAUAGAACGCCACUAGGAUGGCGAAAAGAAUAAUAAUGGAUUGACUAUGCAUUAAUCAAGGGAAGAAUGUUUUGAGGUGUUCAUCAGAGUAGCGCAACAGGAUUUUGAGUGAAGGUUGUGGAGUCUCCGUUGUUGUAAUAAAGUAAUAGGAAGAUGAGUAUUUGACUAUAGUUGUACCUGAUGGGUUUGCUUAUGUAUGACUCAGAAGUCAUUUAUGAAAAGGUUUGGCUCGAGGAGCUUUCUGCUGUUAUGAAUUGUGGCAGUGAUAUAAUUUAGUUUGUUCAGUUAGCGUGUGAAAGUUUUGAAUCACUGAAAGUUGAAGAGGAACUUCAAUCCUUGCUAUUUGUCACUGAAGAUGACUUGGUUCAGGUUGUUGGUUAUCGAAUCUACAUGGCAACUGAAGUGGAUGCAUCAGUUGAGGGGCCGAAUAUGAAGAUCAUAAUCGUGGUACAAGAGUUUUCUAAAGUAUUUUAUGCAAAAUUGCCAGGUUUGUUGUUGGAAAGAGAAAUAGAGUUCAUGAUUGAAUUAGCACCCGGAACAGAGCCAGUCCCUAAGGCUCCUUACCGGAUGGUGUUACCUGAGUUAAAAGUGUUAGAGAAAUCUUCUUGAAGUGUUUUGAAGUUGACAAAACGUUUCUAUCAGUCUAGUUUGAAGGCUUGCAGACUCUGCUAUUUAAAGUCUGAAAACCUCCGGACAGCCAGACUCAAGACUCAAAGUCUAUCCUCAUUGACAGUCUCUAAUCCAUUGAAGAAAGGUUAUCCAGAACUGUAUGUUUCGUUAAGGAUUUGACCUUAUCAACUGGAGAAGAUCUCGUGGCUGGAGAAGACUUAACGGAGUCCUUUGAUUGAUCGAAGAUUGACUCGAUAAUUGAAGAUCCGGUGAUUGCCUAAGUAUUAUUGGAAGGUUCUGCUUAUGGAAACCGAGAUCCUGAUUGUAUGGGCGAACAGGAUUGAUGGGCUAUCAACACGUUCCUUUAAUAGCUUGAACAAUCUUCCUAAUUGAUUCCGUCCAACGGGUAGAUUGGAGGAAUUCCUUUGGUAAGUGCCAAUGGGUAUGAUGGCAUAAAGGAGUAUAUAAGGAAGACUGUCUUAGUUGUUCAAGGUGUGCACGAUAGAAGAAUUCCAAAGUCUGAAGCUUCUUUUUGUUUAGACAAAUCAUUUGAGCGAACACUUGUAUACAAAAGAGAGUCUAUAUUUGUGAGAAACCUUGAGGAGGUGUGGUAACUUCUCUUUUGAUCAUAGUGAAAUCCAGCCGGUGGGCUGUCAGUGCGGAAGAGUGGACGUAAGCUUGGAAUAAGCCGAACCACUAUAAACCCUGUGUUCAAUUCUCUCUUCCUCACUCUCUCUACCUCGAUCGUAUUUCAUUUUGUUAAUUAAGAGAGAAUUUCCUUUCUAUCAUAUGCUAAGAAUCGCUUCCGUAUUUCGAUAAAUUGUUUAUGCACCUAUUCACCCCCCCUCUAGGUACUCAUACUAGCGAUAUCAAAAAGAAUUGAAGGCGUAGAUGCAAGAAGUGUUGGAAGUGUUGGAUAAGGGAUUCAUACUUUCCAGUGCAUCACCUUGGGGAGCACCCGUUCUAAUCGUGAAGAAGAAAGUUGGUUCGUUGUGUUUAUACAUCGAUGUCCCUCAAAGUCGAUUGGAGGUCAUGGUAUCAUUAGUUGAGGAUCAGGAAGAAAGACAUACUGAAGUUAGCAUCUUGCACUCGAUACGGCAGUUAUGAGUUCAUUGUAAUACCGUGUGGUUUGAUGGACACCUUAGUUGGUUGUUUGGGUCUAAUGAGUAGAAUGUUUAAGGGUAUUUAAAUCAUUUGUGAUCGUGUUCAUUGAAAUUAUCCUAGUGUGUUCAUAGAGUACUGAGGAGCACGAGAGACAUUCGAGGAUGGUACUUCAGACCUUGAGUACUUUUGGAUUUUACAAUAAGCUUAGCAAGUGUGAGUUUUGGAUGACUCGUGUUGCGUUCCUAGGUCACGUGAUUUCAGGCGAAGAAAUCUCCGUAGACCCUGUCCAAGAUUGAAGCAGCGAUCAGUUGGCCGAUAUUGACUGUAGUGACAGAGAUUAGAAGCUCUAGGGAUUAGCAGGAUAUUACAGAAGUUUUAUGGAAAGGUUUUCAGCGUCAGCGUUGCAGUUGAUUCGACUACUGAGGAAGUAAGAAAAGUUCGUGUGGACGGAUAAGGGCGAGCGUAGUUUUCAAAGGCCUAAGAAGAGGCUAACUACCGCACAUGUGCUAACCAUUCCAUCUGGUCCUGAAAGUUAUGAGGUCUACAAUGAUGUGUCGUUUAAAGGAUUUGGUUGCUUGUUGAUGCAGCAUGAUAGAGUUAUUGCAUACACGUCCCGUCAGUUGAGAUCUUGUGAGUUAAAUCAUUCGACGCACAUCGUAGAACUUGCAGUAGUUAUGUUCGUUUGGAAUUUUAGAGGCACUAUCGGUACAGAGGAAUAUUGCAUAUCGUCAAUGACUAUCAAAGUCUCAAUAUGUAUUCUCAAAAAGGGAGUUGUAUAUGAGACAGCAUCGCUGGAUGGAACUCAUUAAGGAUUAUGAUUAUGGUAUUUCGUAUCACUCUGGAAAUGUGAGCAAAGUUACAGACGUACUGAAUCGAGAGUCCUUAGUUGCACAGUCGGUACUCAAGGAUUUGAUAUUAUUUGAGAAAGUUCGAAAUUCAAUUUUCGAAUCUAAGGUAGGCCACCUUUUGAAUCUUAUGACCACCCUCAGAAUUGAGCGGAGAGUAUAGAUCAUAAUCAAAUCGCUUCAGUGGACAGAUUCAGAAAUUCAGAAGAUUCUAUAAGAGAAUGCAAUUGAGAGAGAGGUUGAUUUUCAGAUUUCUGAUGACAGAACGCUAAGGUUCUGAGGACGAUUGUAUGUAAUUGAGAAUGCUGAGAUUAAAGAAUAGAUCUUAUGGGAAGCUCAUAGCAACUUCAGCGUUGUUCAGACAGUAAGAAGAUGAGUCAAAAUCUACAUCAUUGGGAUUGGUAGAUCUGCAUGAAGAUAGAUAUCGCCAAUCAAGUUGUGAGUGUUGGAGAUAUCAGUAAGUGAGAAUUUGGCGAUGUAAGCCAGGAAAGCUUUUUCAAGUACUGGAGAGAGUUCUGUGUGGGAAUGGAAGUAUAGCAUGAUGGAAUGUUAUGACAAGCUUAUUAAGGAGUCGGGAAGAGUAUUGAUUCCUUAUGGGGUUGUGGUCGAUAGAUGAUCAGAGUCAGCUCGCCUUAGUGCAGCAUGAAAGGAUCUCGAUUAGAAUAGAUAUACCGAAGUGUGUGUAUAUCAUAUAAAUCACCGGCAUGGAGUGCUGGGGAUGAAUUGUUUUUCAAAAAUAGAUCAGAUGUUCUGAGUUGGCAGAGCUUUCAGAUAGUUCUUUCUUAAGCAGUGCAUAGCAGAGAGUACAGAAUUUCAAUUGCCGAGAUGAAGUCAGGGAGAGAAAGAUCAGGUCAGGGUCAGUACAGUGGUCAGUGAUUGCAAUUGCCGAGAUCAGUGUCAGAAUUAUAUCAUAUCUUGACCAGAGGUUCUCAGUUUCAGCAAGUGAGUCAGAUAGUUUCUCUUUAAUCAGUGCAGAGCAAAGUGUACAGGAUUUCAGUCGGUUGAGAUGAGAUCAGAGAUUAGAAAAUCGCAAGUCCAGAGUUGGGUCAGAAAUCAGUGAUUCAGUUGCAAUUAUCAGAGACAGUUUAGAGACUGCUCAGAAUCGCCAGUUUAGCUUCGCAAAUUUUAUGUUGAAGACCUUUGGAAUUUUAAGUGGGCAAGUCUUCAGUAUUUUGUAUCCAAAGUGGUUUGGGUAAGAUAGCAGUGAUCUGGCAGUAUUAGUACAGAAGGAGCAACCUGAGAAACCGAAGUUUCGAUGAGACAAUUGUACCCCCACCUUUUCUGUUUAAGAAUUGGUAAAGGUUUAAAUUUCGAGGACGAAAUUUUUAUGAGAAGGGAAGAGUUGUGACAUCCCGAUUUUCCGAUUCUAUUUUCAAUAAAUUGAGACGGGCAUUUCGUUGGCACGCAUAUAGUUCUUUUCCUUGAGUUGGCCACUCAUGUGAAAACUAGUCUAUCGGGUGAAGCUGUUAAGAGUUUCUAAUGCAUCAGACUCGAGAAUUUGACCAGGAAGCGACCUUUCGACCGAGCUAGUCUGCAAGGGUCAUUACGGUACAAUUAAAAUCGAUUAGAGAUCGAAGAUAGGUCGACUCGACACAGGCGGGUGAUCAGGUGUGGGUGAUUCCACCAGAUCGCACAAUUCGUGUCGAUCGGCACUAGACCGACUUUUCUAUCGAUUGGGUACCCUGUAUUCGUAUUUGAAACCUUGAGAUUAUCUCGACAACCGAAAGUCGCCAAUGUUUCAAAGAUGUACAUUGUGGCUUGAGAUGAUCAACCACAGGUCAAAUGCAUGAAAAUUUCUAAAGGCUACCCGGUAGGUUGGGCCGCGCUAGUAUCGUGCCAAAGUGAAAUUAACCGUGGAAUUGAGAUCGAAUUCAGAAAUUGGAAGUCUGGGUGUGUCACAAAUCAUUUCAAGAUCAUUGAAUCAUCUUUGGAAGAUUUUUCAUGCAAGCCGAGCUUUUUAGCAAAAUAAUCAAGAAAUGGCUAAUUUGGCUCGAGAAAUUAGUAUGCCGCUUUUGCCGCGCUUUUGGGAUCUAAGUUGAUUAUAUAGACAAGUGAAGAUGUGAAUUAAAGUGUGGUCACAUUGGAUUAAUUUUAUGGACUUCAAUUGGACUCAAUUGGAAGAGAAUUGAUGAGAAUUAAAGAAAUUGGAUGUACAAGAAUUGGACCCCGGCAGAAAAUGAAAUUGCAACCAUUGGAAAAUGUUGUGGGAGGUUUUGAGAUAGUGGAAUAUGACAUCACUUGGUGAUGUCAUGGUGUGGGGGCAAGAAUGGCUAGGAUGUUGACAAGUGUAAGGUGGAGAUUUGAUUUCAAAAAGGGCACCCAUCAACAUCAUCUUCAAGCUUGGGAAGAGAGAGAGAGAGGGGAGGAGCUGCUCGUGCGACCAGCCCCGACGCCGCCUCCAUCCGCUCGACCGGCCGCCCAUCGCCGGAGUUCGCCACCUCGCCGUCAUGCCGAACCGCCGUUGGCCGACCCCCUCUCCUUCCCCUUCCUCUCCCGUUGCGGUCUCUCUUCUCCAUCUCCCUUGGCUGCUUCGAGACCCAGCAGCAACCAGAGAAGUCCCGUCCGAAGCUGCACGCCAGCCGGAGGUCUCGCCGUUCGCCCGUCGCCGCCGUCGCGCGUCUACCUCGCGCUCGCCCGCGCCUAGCCGCGCUCCGCUCCGCCCGCUUCACCCAGCUCGUCGUCCCGAGCUGCUGUUCAGCUCGCGCAAGAGCUGCCGGAGCUCAUUCGUCGCCGCCGUGCACCGCCGUUCAUCGCCGCCAGCCACCGCGUAGCUCCUCCGCCCUUUCUGACCCGAACCGGCGCCGGAUCUACCCUUCCUCGGCCUCAAACCGCCAUGGACAGCAGCUGAAAAAAAAAUGGGUAUGCAGUGGACGUUUGGCCCAUUUUGGCCGCCUUCCCGAGCCCAAAUGCUCGGCCCGCUUUGAGGAAAGUUGUUCUCCUCGGCGUCCCCGUCGUUUUAGUCCGCUCGGCUCGCUAAUCCGGUGAGUUUAGCUCACUAAACCUCGCUUAGAGGGUUAAUUAUGGUUAGGGAGGUUUAGUUUAUGUUAAGUAUUAUUAGGUUGUUAUUUUGUGUUAAUUAAGAGUAGAUUUGAUUAAGGUGGUGGUUUAAUUUAAAGUGUGCUUAAUUAAGGGUAAGUAGGUUUAUUUAAAAUAAGCCUUGAUUUGACAUAAAUGAAUUUACUUUUGAUUUAUUUAAAUGUCUCGAAAUUAUUAUAUAAUUUAAUAAUAAUUUUAUUCGAAAUUAAUAAAAUAUUAUUAUUUAAUUAUUUUCGGAAUAAAUUAAAUUAUUUAUUAAAUUCCGAAAAUUUUGUCGAGACCCUAAAUUCUCAGAAUUUCGUACCGGUCGCUGCUGUGUAGUCAGAUUUUGAAAUUGACGAUUGGAUUUUAUAAAUUGAGUGUGGAUCGUGAAAGACAUGGAUAUUAUUAUUUAAUUAUUUUCGGAAUAAAUUUAAUUAUUUAAUAAAUUCCGAAAAUUAUUCUGGAACCUUAUUCUCCCAUAAUUUCGUGCUGAUCGUUGCUGUGUAUUUAGAAUUUGAUAUUGAUGAUUGGUUGUGGCAAAUUGAGUGUGAUUGCGAUAUAUAGGGAUUCUUUAUGAAAUCCUAAGUGUAGAAAUUGAUGGGAGAUUGGCUGUGAUUGACCACCUAUUAGAGGUCGUGCCUAAUAUGGCCGUGAUAAACCACCUAUGAGAGGUCGUGCCCAGUGAGGCCGUGAUAAACCACCUAUUAGAGGUCGUGCCCGAUGAGGUCGUGAUAUGCCACCUAUUAGAGAUCGCGCCCAAUGGGGCCGUGAAUUGCCACCUGUUAAAGGUCGCGCCGAGUGGGGCCGUGAUGCCACUGAUUCAAAUUUGCCGAGUAGGGCCGUAGUUGAGAGCAAUGAUUGAUUUGCUAGAAUGACAUGUAAUCGGCCGAGUCGAUUGAUCGCUGUGACGAUCCAAGUGGUUGAAUUGUUUGGAUAAUGUGAUUGUGACAUGGUUGUUUGGUUAUCAUAAUUGUACGUGGUUGGAUUAUAUAAAUUGUGCUAACCUGCAGAUGAAGGCUGAGGCGAGGUAAGUCUUCUGUGUGAUGUGGCUAGGCCACCCUUGGGCGUAUUUUCUUUCUAAUAGGGGNNNNNNNNNNNNNNNNNNNNNNNNNNNNNNNNNNNNNNNNNNNNNNNNNNNNNNNNNNNNNNNNNNNNNNNNNNNNNNNNNNNNNNNNNNNNNNNNNNNNCGAUUAUGAGUUUGUGAUGGUUCUUGAGGCUUUGAUUGCUGGAAAUUGCACCCUUGAUCAAGCUCUAGAAUUUAUCUAGAGUAGUUCAAGAAUUCUUUUGGCUCGUUUUGGCUUCCAAUUAGUUUAUAAUGGGCCUAAGUUAGAUCUAUUGCAUUUAUUUAAUAUUUUUCGUAAUUAAUUAAUUAUUUAUUUAUUUUCUGGAAAUUCAAUCGGGAUGGCCGGUAACCAGAAUUUUAUACUGAAUUCAUUAAUGCUUUCUAUUUAUUGAAUUAAGCAUUGGAUUAUGAUAAUUGAGUGAAAUUGGUGAUGAUGAGGAUUUAUCCCAAAAAUUGGAUAAUGUGGGUAUAAAUCUAAGAAUUGCCGAGUGGGACUGUAAUACCAAUAAAUCUCACCAAAUAUAAUAAAUUUGUCGAGUGGGGCCGUGAUACCACUAAAUCUAAAAAAAAUUGCCAAGUGAUGCCGUGAUGUCACUAAAUAUCGAAAAUUGCCAAUUUGGAUCGUGAUGCCACUAAAUCUAAAAAAAAAAUUGCUUGGUGAGGAAUCUAAAAAAAUUUUGCUUGGUGAGGCCGUGAUUUCCACAAAACCUAGAAAAUUGCCAGUGGAGGCCGUGAUGACCACCAAAUAUAGAAAAGAUGCCAGUGGGGUUGUGAUUACCACUUAAUCUAGGUUGUGUUCGUUAGGCCAAAAUCAAGAGUUGAAAUUGAUUAAUCGAAAUGACUGUGUGAUGGUCUUGAUGACAUGUAAUCAACUUAGUCAAUUGAUUGAUGAGUCGAUCUAUCUGAUGAUAUGAUAUGAUUAUCAGUAUUUAUGAAUUAACUGACUUGUAGAAAGGAACUCAGGCCAAUGUAAGUCCUCUGACUCGUGUUGUGCUUAGGUAGCCUUUAGGGCGUAAUUGGCUUCCUAAUCAAGUUUUAGGGGGUAGAACUUGCUGAGACAUUGUCUCAUUGGUUAUUGAAUAACCAUUUCAGGUCCUUAGGUGGUGUUGGCGAAGGACUAGAAGCCUUGGAGUUUGAGAGGCGAAGCUCGAAAAAUCAGCGAUCUUGUCCUGCUAGCUAGUCGUAGGAUAAUUCUCCUUUGUAAGGAGCUAAUUCCUUCUGUGAACCUUUGUAUAUAGACACGUGUGUUUAUAAAAAUGUAUUUUGUGAAAAAUUAGUCCUACUUUCCUAUUCCAUUGGUUUAUUGUUUAAGGAUUAUUUAUAUGCUUCCACAUGUAUAUUAAAAUGAAUGGGUCGGCGAUGCGUCCUGGGACGUCGCUACUAAUCAACUAAGCAAGGAUGGACAUGUGCUCAAAGGAUCGGGACGUGACACUAACAUUCAAAGUUUAAUUUUUAAAAUUAUUUUGCAUCAAAUUUCAACAUCAGUACAUUAGAGAAUCAAUCAGGAAAACCACUCCUAGCAAAAGGACAAGCAGUGUAGACCAGAUCUAAUCUGACAACCAAAGAGGUCUCUUACCAUCACUACCAAAAACCACCCCCCCAAAAAAAAAAAAAAACAAAACACAUAAAGAGAAAAUAAAUCGAAGAUUCUUGAAGACACUUUUAUCGAUUUGGUAACCUCACAGAGGUUCGUUCAACUCGAACACCGCCAAACCCAACGAAAACCCAUUCGCAAACGACAGGCUCGAACGAUGGCGCCGACGACCACCUGCCUACAAAGCCGAAACCGGGAAGUACCCGCACGUCGAAACAGUUAUUUUAAGCUCGUAGAAGCUAGAUAUAGAGUCUGACAAGCAAACAAGCACGGGGUGAGGGAGUGAGGCUCACCUUGCUUUUGACAGCGGAUCAACCAGCCAGGCUCAACGAUGGUGACGUCAGUGCGACGAGCUAUAGGCACAACCGGUCGCAUGGACAUCACAUUCAGCCACUCUCUUCGUCUUCUNNNNNNNNNNNNNNNNNNNNNNNNNNNNNNNNNNNNNNNNNNNNNNNNNNNNNNNNNNNNNNNNNNNNNNNNNNNNNNNNNNNNNNNNNNNNNNNNNNNNCCAUUUCAGGUCCCCUGGUGGAUGGAGCGGCCGGAUAGUUUGGUUGGCCCUUGAGCAGUGCAGAGGCGAAGUCAUAAGGGUUGGAGAGCGUGUCCUACUAGUUGGUUGUAGGAUAGUUCCCCUUUUGUUGAGCUGGUCUAUUUUGUAGAAAGUCCAGUGUUGUAUUUAAACCCUUUGUGUUUGUAAAUGAGUGUUUGGUAUUGUGAUUGAUUACC